CCGGAUUUGGUUUUGUAGUUUAGUUUGAACAUUCAACUUCCAGUUAAGAAAAACACUACUUAAUGUUUACUUUCAGUCUUUCAGUUUUAGUCCACUAAUUGACUAAAUAUUUUAUUACCUGUGAAUCGGUUUCAUAAAAGACGAAGACUUACAGUGAUUAUCAAGCUCAACAUGACAGGACUUACGGGAUGAAACUAGGACCUUAGGGAACAGCCAUUGCCAAGGGGAUUGAACCACAAGUAUCUCGAUGGACUCACAGCAUUCUGGACUUUCAAGAUAUUUAAUGCGAAAGUGAUGUGAGGAACAGCCAUUUAUAUGGAAGUGAUUCAUCCCAAGAGCAAGUCAUGCAUCAUUUCCAGGAGCCAAUAAUUUUCCUCUAACCGCAAACAUUAAACAAUAAUGUGAAUUUAUAGUAUCCGGUACGGCUGUCCGUUUCUUUCCAGCUGAGAUGUGCGUAAACGAGCGGCACUAAGUAAAUAUCCUUAUAUGCAGUCAUGUAACUCAUGAAAGUUGAAAAGUAAACUUUGGAUUUAGAUAUACAUAAAUAAGUGCUUGACCUCUGCACCUCCCAGGGUCAAGGCUUUUACCACUUUCUGAUAUGGUGUUUGUGAACUUUGACCUUUGAACUUUGAACCUGAGUUUGAAUAUUUAAUAUGUAAUAUUUGCUUUGUUGUGUUGCCAGAGACACCAAUAGCUUUUCAUAAUUUGUGUCUCUGGAUAAACAGCCGUGCCCAAUUUUCGCCACAAUAAAAUUUAUUAAAUACAUA